UCGAUGGUAGGAUAGUGGCCUACC
rnacentral:ncRNA from 2 species